UAUGGUAAUUGUGUGGCCGCCGCGGUACUACGUAGGGAGCGAGCGUUGUCCGGAAUUACUGGGUGUACAGGGCGCGUAGGCGGGAUCGCAAGUCAGAUGUGAAAACUAUGGGCUUAACCCAUAAACUGCAUUUGAAACUGUGGUUCUUGAGUGAAGUAGAGGUAAGCGGAAUUCCUAGUGUAGCGGUGAAAUGCGUAGAUAUUAGGAGGAACAUCAGUGGCGAAGGCGGCUUACUGGGCUUUAACUGACGCUGAGGCUCGAAAGCGUGGGGAGCAAACAGG
rnacentral:rRNA from 1 species